rnacentral:lncRNA from 1 species
AGACACCGUCUUCCCCACAACGUGCACCUACGGCCUUCCGGGGCGCCCCACAUGCAGGGGACCGAGGACAGGAAAUCCGUCCGGUGGGCGGGGCCCGGAGUGGAAGCGGCUGAGCCUUCGCCUGUUCGUGGGAAGGGGCCAGUGGGGCACCUUCGACGCGUCGCCUCUGCACCCAGGGGGCACAUCGAAGCCGCGGUGUCCAGACUGCACUCCUGAUGCCUCCCCCAGGCGGCUCCCUGCACAACCUCCCGCGCUUAGCUACACAAAUGGCAACCCCCCACCCCAGGGCUCAGACCCAAGUUGGGGGCACCCUCGACCCACACCCAUGCCUGGUUCUGUAGCAAGUGGUGCUGCCAGCUCUGCCCCCAACGCACAUCCUGACACCACGCACUCCUCACCUGGCGGUCAGGAGCUUCCUCGCUCACUCACCGUCUCCUCCGCCUCUCCUUUGCCCCAGCCCUGGGGAGGUGUUCCAACAGCCAGAGCGGUUGCACCCCAAUAUCAUCAGCUUCUGUUCGGACCCUCCAGAAAGGGGCCAGGAGGCAGGGGCUUCCCUGGGACUGCCCUCCCUGCCUCCCCCGCUGACCACCCUGCAAGCCAAGAGCCAUCCACACCAGCAUCGCAAGGCCCCACAAAGCGGGGCGCACAGACAGCGUGGCUGGUGGAGCCGAGCCCACAGGGACACAGGGGGAGCCGUCUUUCUCCAGUGGCAGGUGACACACGGCUAGGACGCAGCUCACGAAGCCACGCGUCCACCCCGCGGCACCCUGGGCGGAUCAGGGCCUCUCCUGAAAUCAGAAAGUGCGCUGCGGCCUGACCGACAUCAGUCCGCCCGGGUCAAAGCCUUUCCUCCCCGCCCGACAGAACCCGGGCUGGUGCCUCCGGUGGAGAAGGGGGUGGGCUCCUCGCCCCUCUCCUUCUUUCCCUGCUGCUUCUCUUGAUUGGCUCCCCCGAGGGGAUGAUGGAGGAGGGCGGGCUCCCCUCCUGCCACCCACAACCGUGGCUGCCCCCAUGAUGCUGUCUCCAGCAGGGCCCCUCCCCGGCAGCGCACCCACGGCCUCCUGCCGCCGCUUCCCCGAGCCACCCCUAUUGGACCCCAGGACGGGCUCCCCAGCUGCCUGGAUCGGAAGCAGGGAGCCCUGUCCAAGGCCGGGCCGGGCUGUGCAGGGCGGGCGCCUCCCACCCGUGCGCGGCGGCCGAGGGCCUCUCGGGGGGAGCGGACUCUUCCCCACAGGCUUCUGGGCCGUGUUCUUGAAACACUGGCCGGCUGUCCUUUCCAGGGGCCUUAUUCUAAGGCUGAUGCUGAGGCGCCCGGAGGGCUCAGUCGGCUGAGCGUCCGACUUCGGCUCAGGUCAUGAUCUCGCAGUUUAUGAGUUCGAGCCCCGCGUCGGGCUCUGUGCUGCCGGCUCGGAGCCCGGAGCCUGCUUCGGAUUCUGUGCCUCCCUCUCUCUCUGCCCCUCCCCUGCACACGCUCUGUCUCUGUCUCUCUCUCUUUCAAAAGUAAAUAAACAUUGGGGGCGCUUGGAUGGUUCA